GGGUGAUCCCCCACAAUGGAACUGAAACACGGUCCAUACAUCUACGGAUGGCAGCAGUAGGGAAUAUUGCACAAUGGGCGAAAGCCUGAUGCAGCAACGCCGCGUGUGCGAUGAAGGCCUUCGGGUUGUAAAGCACUUUUCUGAGGGAGGAGGAAGGACGGUACCUCAGGAAUAAGUCUCGGCUAACUACGUGCCAGCAGCCGCGGUAACACGUAGGAGGCAAGCGUUAUCCGGAUUUACUGGGCGUAAAGCGCGUGCAGGCGGUUUGGUAAGUUGGAUGUGAAAGCUCCUGGCUUAACUGGGAGAGGUCGUUCAAUACUGCCAAACUAGAGGACGGUAGAGGAAGGUAGAAUUCCUGGUGUAGUGGUGAAAUGCGUAGAUAUCAGGAGGAAUACCAGUGGCGAAGGCGGCCUUCUGGGCCGUUCCUGACGCUAAGACGCGAAAGCAUGGGUAGCGAACGGGAUUAGAAACCCCGGUAGUCCAUGCUGUAAACGAUGCAAACUAGGUGUUGGUGGUGUAAAAGCCAUCAGUGCCGCAGCUAACGCGAUAAGUUUGCCGCCUGGGGACUACGGCCGCAAGGUUAAAACUCAGAGGAAUUGACGGGUUCCCGCACAAGCAGCGGAGCGUGUGGUUUAAUUCGACUACGCGAAGAACCUUACCUGGGCUUGACAUAUAGGUGGUAGGAGACCGAAAGGCGACCGACCCUUCGGGGAGCCUAUACAGGUGCUGCAUGGCUGUCGUCAGCUCGUGUCGUGAGAUGUCCGGUUAAGUCCGGUAACAAGCGCAACCCUUGCCGUAUGUUAUACGUGUCAUACGGGACUGCCGAUAUAAAAUCGGGGGAAGGAGGGGAUGACGUCAAGUCAGCAUGGCCUUUAUGUCCAGGGCUACACACACGCUACAAUGGCCAGUACAAUAGGUUGCAAAGCCGCGAGGCGGAGCCAAUCCUCAAAGCUGGCCUCAGUUCGGAUUGCAGGCUGCAACUCGCCUGCAUGAAGCCGGAGUUGCUGGUAAACGCGCGUCAGCAACAGUGCGUUGAAUACGUUCCCGGGAAUUGUACACACCGCCCGUCACGUCAUGGAAGCUGGAAACACUUAAAGUCAGUAUCCUAACCCUAACGGGAGGGAGCUGCCAAAGGUGGGUCUGGUAACUGGGGCGAAGUCGUAACAAGGUAGGUGUAGCGAAGCUGCGCCUGG
rnacentral:rRNA from 1 species